CCCCCCAUAGUGGGAGAGUUGCCACCGGAUCUCAUUAGAACUUUGGAGUUAAGCGUGUUUAGGUGGGAGUAAUCCCUAGAUGGGUGACCUCCUUGGGAAGUCCUCGGAUACGUGUGU